UAUCCUCAAGAGGGGGACAACAUUGGGAAACCGAUGCUAAUACCCCAUAAGCCGGGAGGUAAAAGGAGCAAUCCGCUUGAGGAGCGGCUCAUGUCCUAUCAGCUAGUUGGUGAGGUAACGGCUCACCAAGGCGAAGACGGGUAGCCGGCCUGAGAGGGUGAACGGCCACACUGGAACUGAGAGACGGUCCAGACUCCUACGGGAGGCAGCAGUGGGGAAUAUUGGGCAAUGGGGGAAACCCUGACCCAGCGACGCCGCGUGAGGGAAGAAGGCCUUAGGGUCGUAAACCUCUGUUGUGUGGGAAGAAGAGUGUGACGGUACCACACGAGGAAGUCCCGGCUAACUACGUGCCAGCAGCCGCGGUAAUACGUAGGGGACGAGCGUUGUCCGGAUUUACUGGGCGUAAAGGGCGCGUAGGCGGUCAUUUAAGUCAGCUGUGAAAUGGUUUGGCUUAACCGGAUCAUGCGGUUGAAACUGGAUGACUGGAGUGCUGGAGAGGCAAGUGGAAUUCCCAGUGUAGCGGUGAAAUGCGUAGAUAUUGGGAAGAACACCGGUGGCGAAGGCGACUUGCUGGCCAGCAACUGACGCUGAGGCGCGAAAGCCAGGGGAGCAAACGGGAUUAGAUACCCCGGUAGUCCUGGCCGUAAACGAUGAAUGCUAGGUGUGGGCAUCGAGAGGUGUCCGUGCCGGAGCUAACGCGAUAAGCAUUCCGCCUGGGGAGUACGAUCGCAAGAUUGAAACUCAAAGGGAAUUGACGGGGGCCCGCACAAGCGGUGGAGCACGUGGUUUAAUUCGAUGCAAACCGAAGAACCUUACCUGGGUUUGACAUGUACGUAAGUAGGGAGCUGAAAGGCGACUGACGAAAGGAUUCGUCCCGGAGAGCGUACACAGGUGCUGCAUGGCUGUCGUCAGCUCGUGUCG
rnacentral:rRNA from 1 species